GCUGCUCUGUAAUCAUUGGCCCGGUCGAGAAAGAGUUAUCCAAUUCAGUUAAACCGAGAUUGGAUGAUCUGUAACCGGUUGUUGAAUCGGUUAAGCCAGAUGAGAACAUUGAACCGGGUAGCACCACUGCACUAGGUACGGUAUCAACAUGAUGAUUUCUCCCGGUUUGGGGAAUCCAGAUUCCGGUUUGUAUUCUUGAACCAGUCUCAAGACUUAACCGUUGGAAACCAAAAUUUCCGGUAUAAAGAUGAUCGGUGUUGCUGUUGUUGUGGUUAGUGCUGCCAGUGGUGGUACUAGAGGAGCCUUCUGUCUCAAUGAGGUAGGUCGUUUGACACUUCUCAACCGGUGUGGUAUUGUCAUCUGUACCGGUUUCAAUUUCGGCUAAGAGCUUGUGUGUAACCGGAUCAAUUCCUCUCAACCUCAGUUUCUUCUUUAAGGAAGAGUUCCAUAGAUUUUUGAUUUCAUUGUCGGUUCUACCAGGAAGCUGUGCAGCAAUCUGAGACCACCUAAACCAAGACCAAAGCAACAUGGGUUACAUAUAUAAAUACACUUACAUGCCUCAUAAGGAUCAGCAGAAACAGCACGGGGUUCUUUACCUGUUGCCAAGAACGGCAUGAAGUUCAAUAAUAAGGUUUUCUUCAUCCUGUGAAAAUGCUCCUCGCUUCAAAUCUGGUCUUAGAUAGUUUAUCCAUCUUAAUCUACAGCUCUUUCCACAUCUCUGCAAACCUAAAAAAGAAUUAAUAAAAAAAAUGAUAAUUCAAGAAUUAGGAAGGAGUAUUAAUCAAGCACAACAAAAUCCCACUUCCUCUAAAUGUAGAACUAUCGCACUAAAAGUUACUAGUGGGAAAACUUUUAUAAGUAGUACUCUUUUACUCUAAAUAUAACUUUUACUCUUUGUUUUUCUCCUUUCAAAAAUUCCCCACUUCCUCUAAAACUAAGUCAUAUUUCUUCUUGUUACAAAAUGAUAUGCUUAGAAUAUUUUUUUCUUGAAAAAGGUUGUUUUGGAUCUGAGAGAAAAUUUAUGGUAUUUUCCUGGUAAAAGUAACUAAAAUAUACUCCCUCUCUUCCACAUUAUAAGAUGUUUUGGAGAAGUUUAGUUGUUUCAAAAUAUAAGAUGUUUUAAUUUUAUUGAAAAUUGAGUAAUCAAUAACAUUAUACUGCAUUAUUUAUGAUUGGUUAAAUUAUUUCUACUUUAUAUUAUUAAUAAUAUUUUCUUCUAAAAAAUAAGUUUUUUAAUUCUUGUGCACUCGAACAAAAUAUCUUAUAUUAUGGAACAGAGUGAAUAAAAUGGAACAUAAUUUCAGGUGUCAGUUUACUAGUGUAGUGUAAUUGACCAUCUAACUAGUACUUGUGUGAAAAUUGUCAAUGCAUAUACCUAAACGGAGAGAGUAAUAGAUAAUCUGGUAACUCCAAAACUUCAGUUACUGAAAAAGGAUUACCAAAUAAUUCGAAGUAACGUUUUGUUGAUUAUUGACCAUAUAUAUAUAUGUGUGUGUGUGUGUGUGUGUAAUAAAUUUGAUGUAAUGGGUAUAUAAAAUGAACAAGAAAUUAAGAAAUAAAUGUCAUUGAUCCAGCAAGAAUACACAAACAAAAUCUCAAAAUCCAGAAAACUAUGCUUCACAAAGUACAUCAAAUAAAAGAAAAUGUAAGAACAACACCCUUAAAUUAAAUGAAUAUAAUACAAACUUUAUAUACACAAAGUCACAAACCAUUAUAAAUAAAACUCGAUAAUUGGAAUAAAGAAAAAUAACUUGAAGAAGAAAAAGAAGAUCCACACACCUUAUAAUAUACAAGUUUUUAAAUAUGGCCAUAUGCAUGUUGCUGAGGCUGAAGCUGGUUACAUGGCCACAUACCAACAUUUGCAGCCUCCGUACCGAAAAAAUUGGUCUCGGAUUUGAUUUCACUAUACAACGACGAGUUUGAGUGAUUCUGUAACGAAUUAUUCGAUAUUGUAAAUUGAUUUUCUUCCAUGGUUAAUCCCCAACUAAGAUUCCCAGUUCCAAAGAAUGUCGAAUUGUUGUAGUUACUCUCUUGAAGGUGCUGCUCUGUAAUCAUUGGCCCGGUCGAGAAAGAGUUAUCCAAUUCAGUUAAACCGAGAUUGGAUGAUCUGUAACCGGUUGUUGAAUCGGUUAAGCCAGAUGAGAACAUUGAACCGGGUAGCACCACUGCACUAGGUACGGUAUCAACAUGAUGAUUUCUCCCGGUUUGGGGAAUCCAGAUUCCGGUUUGUAUUCUUGAACCAGUCUCAAGACUUAACCGUUGGAAACCAAAAUUUCCGGUAUAAAGAUGAUCGGUGUUGCUGUUGUUGUGGUUAGUG
rnacentral:lncRNA from 1 species